rnacentral:rRNA from 1 species
GGGGGGACGGAGAAGGCUAUGUUGGCCGGGCGACGGUUGUCCCGGUUUAAGCGUGUAGGCUGGUUUUCCAGGCAAAUCCGGAAAAUCAAGGCUGAGGCGUGAUGACGAGGCACUACGGUGCUGAAGCAACAAAUGCCCUGCUUCCAGGAAAAGCCUCUAAGCAUCAGGUAACAUCAAAUCGUACCCCAAACCGACACAGGUGGUCAGGUAGAGAAUACCAAGGCGCUUGAGAGAACUCGGGUGAAGGAACUAGGC